AAAAAGUGCUGUGUAGCAAACCGUGAUCCGCAACGCGCAGCUGGAAGCACCUACAAGACGACACCCUGUCCCCAAAGUGUUGGAAGCCGUCUGAGUGUGAAUAAGACUCAGGCUCCAGCUCUCAUGCAACUGAGGUUGUUGAGGAUCUGCUCCCUCCCCCCUGUAAGCAACAUGCAUCAGUAUUUCUCACACUUCUCCAUCCUAAUACAAGCAAGUGCUCCACCAGUGCAUCACUGAGCUUGCACAGAUGUCCUCCCUUCUGGCGGCGAUGAUGGAGCCCACCUGUUCUCAGUAACAGCCUGUAGCAAUCGCAGCGCUGUGGGAGUUUGCUCACAGUUAAAUAUUUGCAUCUUAGGCCUUUUAUCUUCCGGCCGACUUCAACAUUGCAGCCCCUGGCUCUUGUCACGCCGUUGUCUGCUGUAGGAAAGGGCACUUAGUCAGGUGUCUGUGCCCUGUGCAAGCAAUUACAGACCGAGCGAGUCUCUUGGCAUAGGUGGGGAACGCAGCCAGGGCAGACUAAAGACUACCCUGGCCCUCCUCACUCAGACAGUCAUGCCAGCAGCAUAAGUCACAUGGCUCCCCUGCCUGUCUCUGCAAGCCCUUGCUCCGUGGCAAGGGAAGGCAAUCUGGAUUCAUGGCAAACCUGCCUGAGUGAUGAGCUGGCAGCAGUUAGCAGGGCUGGGCUCCCUGCUUGGCCACCUUGUGUGGAAAGGACUCUGGAGCCCUUUUCGAGGAUCCUGGCCUAAGUAAUUAAGUAAUCUGCGCUCUGGGAAAGCUCCUUUGUUCAGUGCCCUACUUAAAGCACCUCGUCCUGAGGCAUGCUGGCCCUUCCUGAAAAAAAUCAAGCCUUUUUAGAAGGUUUCAUGCCAAAUCCAGUGGCUGCUCCCAUUUGAAAAUGUUGGUAAGUGGGGCUGGGCUGGACGUGGCGUGCUCUCGGGGUGAGUCUGACUGCAGGGCUUCACCCCCCACCUCACCUGCUCCAAGCGGCAGGGCAAAAGAUGGCCCCUUGUUUCUCCAUUAUAAACAGCAGCUUUCACGUAGAACAAAACCCCCAAACACUCUUCUCCCCUUAGGGACCGCAUGAGAGCAAACAAGCCCGGGGUAGUACUCAUGUGUCUUUGAGCACACUUGGAAAGCACUCAGCUAGUGCCAAUCAUUGCAUGAGCCAGGAGCAAACAGGCCACAACUAGACUAGCCUGCCCACGGGAACAAAGCUUGCAUGGGGAGAUGCCUACUGAAAGAGCAGCAAGAACGCAUUUCCAGCCCAAGCCCCCCUCAGCAUGCGCUUCGAGCGCGCUGGUGCCAUCUCCAUGCUGGCGGGGCGCUUUCCAGCCUGCUCUGUGAUGGUCCCAGCUGCUGUCAGUACCCCGAUUCCUCUCCUAGUAUUUGAAUGUGCGUCCAGCAUGCAUGGGAAUGCAUGGGUGCGUCCAAGUAAACGAGCCUUGUACACGAGCCGCGUGAUCUGAAUGAUGCCGGGGGCAGGAAAUGCCCACAUUUUGCAGCCAGAGCUUCGGGUCCUUUCAAUGGCAGUCUUUGGCUGGCUGCAGGACCUCUUGGUAAACAGUUGCUUGAUGGAGGAAAUAUGGCUAUUAAGGAGAACUUAACUUUAUUAGCAGUUUAGACACAUCUUCAGUUUGACCCCAGAAAGAAGUCCCAGUCAUGCAAGUAACCGUCUAGCCCAUUGGAGCAGAGCAGACAGCAUUCAAAUACAGAGUGGCAAGGUUUGGGUUAUCACAAGAGUUUGCCACCAAUAGUUGGGGGAAAAAAAGCAGCCAUUUUUGUACAGACGGACGGUUAGGCCUGGAGCUUCGAGCACAACGAGUGAUUCUGGGGGGUGCUUCUAUUUUGGGAUGCCCUAUUUGACCUGGUUUUCAAAUGGCUCAGCCUCAGCACUUUCUCAAAAAUGAGGUCCUGCUUCUCUAAGUUGGCAACCCCAAGUCCCUGUUGGAAAAACUGUGGUUAAUGUUGCUUUCCUCAAAGAAAUCCCAUGCUGCUUCCAUUGCUGCUGCCCACGUUUUCCCAUCUGAAGAGUAGACCGAAAUAAAUUCCAGGUGAGGUCGCUGUCACAGAGGCUGAUAGCUGCUUUUACCAAAAGCAAACUAUGCCAUGUGUCCUGAAUAUUCAAAAUAAAAGACGGGAGAUGGCAUUGCAGGGUAUGCAGUGCAACCCACGGCAGUGAAUCACAGCCAAGAUUGUGGCCAUAAAUUGGCCUCUGAAUGUUUGUCAUUGUGUCCCUCGGCAUGUGAGCUAUGGAGGCUGCAGACGGCCCUCGCAAUGAGACUGCCCGUUUUUCAAACCUGCCCAACCCCUCCUCCUUGCCCGGACUCCCCUGCGCACACAAGGACGGUCCCUCUGACGGCAGGACAUCGCCAUACGAAGACUGCACGGAGGGGGAUGCAGGUCUCCAGCAUUGCUGGUUGCAGAGGCAGGUGCUGAUGCUGUUAUUGGCCUGCAGUGGAGAGGAGAUCAGUGGAUUGCACCUGCUUGUGCCACCUCCUUGACUAUCUUUUCUGUACUGCAGUAGCAAGAGAAUCCAAGAAAGCUGAGGCGUUCAGCAGCGCAGGGAUCAACAGCCAACCCGCAUCUCUGGAAGAAAAAAAAAGAAAUGUUAUUUCUCUUAAUCUGUUCCUUCAGCUCAGUUUUGUGGUUUUUUAAAGUGAAAAUUAAGGGGAUUUCUCCAUUGUAUUGUCUACAAAACAAGUCCAAUGCACUCAGUUAAUUUUUUGCAGGCAGCAUUACAUGCUUCAAGGAAGGAUUCUGCCUGCCUGCCAGGAUCCCAAGGAGCAGUGCAAACGUUAAAGGGUUAAUCCUUGUAAUUAGGCAAGAAUUAUUUGCGCUCCCUUUCCUCCAGGAAAGGGAACACUGAACCACAGCGCUGAGCAGCCAAAGGACCUGCACUAAGGUUUGGCCCACACGUAACAGCGCUGCAUAUCAAUUUUGCCUCUGCAUACAGCAGUUUCCCCCAUCUGUAAAAUGAAGAUAAUGUUGUUGAGGUCCUUUAUGAAAGGAUAAAAGAUGCCACUGAAGAAGUAGGCAUUAUUAGGAGGAGUUUCAGAAGCCCAAGAGCACUUAACUCCUGUCCAGGAGCAUUAGUCGCCUAAGUGCUUUUGGAAAUGCCCCAGCUGCCCACCCGCAUCACUGGGCAUGAACAGGACUGGGACUAUCUGACCACAGCAGCCUUCUGCUCCAGAAGACCCUCCCUGGGCAAUGGGGCACAUGGUGCUUGGCAGGAUCAAGCCUUUAGCAUACUGACCCUGAGUCUCCUCCCUGGUGCAGCUUCCUUGCGGCCCAUGAUGCUGUCCUAUGGCCGCAGGCUGCCAAGGCGGGGGGUAUGAACAAAGAGUGGAAGCAGGUAUUCACCAUGCCCCCGUGCCUUGCUCUGCCCAGUGAAACAGGGCAAUGUAAAUCCAGCAACUCUGACCCAGGGGCUGCCAGCCAUACACUUCCCCAGCAGCACGUCCCCAGUCUUCCUACCCGGGCGCCCCCAGCCACAAACACUUUGUGUAGCUUCCUCCCUGCUCUGUCCCAACAAGCAGACGGUGCUGACCAGGCAAUUAGCCCCUUUCAUGCUGGCUCUGACCAUGCUGGAUGAAGCCCAAACAGCCUUUCUUAGAACGGGGCUGCCUGGCCCUUGCCGCCUUGGCCAUGAAAGGGGCAGAAACUCUCUGAAACAAUAGUGAUACCGGAUUGAGUUACCCAGCCAAGCUUUCAAUUCAGAUCUGCUGUGGAUGCAUUCACUGGCUUGAGUCCUGUGGGCCUUGACUGGUGCAGUGCCUCAGUUACCCUGGGUUAAGAGCUACAUUGGUUUUGCUGGGCCGGGGAACGCAGUCCACGCUACUUAUAGUUUCCAUGCAUCACUGGAAUAACAGCAAGCAAUUUGAGCAGCACCAGGGCUCGUGACAUGUUCGCCCUUCAACAAAAAAACCAGCCCACCACAUCUCCCAGCUCUGGCAAAUGUAAUUUCUUUGGCAAACGUCUUGGAUGAACCAAAAUCUAUUUGACCACUUCUUCAGGGAGGACCAGCGCUCACGAGGCACUGAGCAUGUCAUGAACUGCUCCUGGUCCUUGGUGCCCUUCUCUGUUAAUCACUGCCGAAAGACACACGCAGCAAUUUUUACAGUACGGGGCACGCGACUCCCACCCCCAUGGUUUCCCUUGGACGAAACUGAAACAACUGAAAGUUCCCAUUUCUCAAUAACAACCCGUAAGUACUUGCAAGUGCACAAACUGGAUUCCAGGUUUGCUUCCCGUUUGUCACGGAGCAGCAGCUUUGUGUUGCAAGCAUGACACCAUCUUUGCUGCCAAGAUAAAUAGCGGUACAUAUUGUAACUGGCUAUGGUGACACAAAUACUGAAAUGCACUCAUGCCUACAGGCUGAGGGCCAAAAAGCAUCCAGCACGUUGGCGUGCGGGGAGCCUGUCAGCAUGCGCCGAGGUACUGGUAUCCCAUUUUGAUUUCCGUUUUAUUGCGCAGUUAUCAGAACAUUUCCCAUGCAUGCUGGGAUUAAUUAAGAGAGCACGGUCCGGCAGCGCGGCAAAUGCAAGGCAAAGGCCGCUGUUGCUGCACACCGUACACUAGCGUCCUUUGACGUCGUGGGGCAGGACACCAGCAGCAGAGGAUGAGGAUGGUGCUCUGAAUCCUGAACUGGAAUGGCUCCAUGUAAACGCAUCCUUCCCCAUGUCUCUGCUAUUCUGCAUUUGCUCCUCUCCAGUUUGUCUAUGCAGCUUCCUAAACCCUACCCCCACCCCCCGCCCCCAAUUAUGUAUAAGCAGAUCCUGGUGUGUGGGUGUGCUUAGGAGGAACGUUUGGCCUGCCCAUGGCUAACAUUAGAGAUGAAGACAAGUGGGUUGGACAUAGAGGCCUGGACCUUGGCUCUGCUUGGUCCCUUCCCAGUGGCCGGUAUAAUAUAAAAGUACCUGGGAGGUGGUUUAACCAGACAGGGGGAACUAACCCGGGGGUUUGGGCACCUUUGGACUGGCAGAGUGGUCCCAUGGCCCUUGCCAUCCCCAGCACUAGGAGGUAUAUCAGGGAGAGGUACAGCAGGGUGUUGCACCCUCCAGCUCUGAUGAACUAGUCAAGUGGCCCAUCAGGCCCUUUCAGGAGCUGCUCAGGCCCCUCUAAUUAUUCCAGGGGCUGCACUCGGACUCGGAGGGGGGGCUCAGAGGCCGUCUUGCUUCUCCCACAUGCUUAGGGAGCAGCAUCUGAACUGGAGGGAGGGUCUCAGCCAGGACGCAGCCUUGUGUUCCUGGGGGGACUCAGCGCUACACCAAGGAUAAUACUUGAGAGGCUGCAACAGGAGCCUAAGCCUCAGGAGAUCCAGGUCCUAGUCUAAGCUCUGCCCCCCGAGUCACUGGGGGACAGCUGGUAAAUCACUUCACCCCUCUGAACUUUGGCUUCCCAGCUAUAUAAAAUCUGAAGACGGAGAUGAAAUGGAGAUGGCAAGGCUUGCCUAACACAUGGGAGCUCUCCCGCGCACGUGAUCCGGGUUUCUACAGAGCCUAGUAAGAAAUGGCUGCAGGGUGCUGCAGAAGUGCCAGCAAUCGAGCUCGGCGGGGAAGUUUGGCCAAAAACAAAACUUGCAGAGGGAGGACGGGGGGGGCUGCAAACCCGCUUGCGAAAACGCUCCCCGCUACCCUCCCGGCUCUACCAAGCCGAAGGUUUCAGAGUCACCAAUUUGCUGUCAAGCCACUACUGUGUUCCUGCAAGUUUUUGCUGCCUGACCAAAUGUCUUUCUCUGCUGCAGGAAGGAAAGCUGCCCGAGAAGCAGAGUAGCACAAAUUAACAAGGAGAGCCUGUUCCUGGCACUCUGCUGACACCACUGAUGUGACCAUUAAAGAUGUCCAUGACAGGCGCUGAGCAAACCGUAAAAAACACUUUGUUUUGUGUUUCGUCGGUAAUGAGAAAAUCAAAAAAGACAAGGGUACAACCGGGAAGGGGGUUUGGAGGUUUCUUAGGGGGCGACAUGCUGCAGAAGUAGGGCAGAAGCUUUCUACUAUGAAAUAGAGGCUGCCAUUAAAAAAAAUAAGUGCACAUUUGUCAUCAGGUACCAGAGUUACGUCCUAUUCUAAUUACAGUGCAAAAGCUGUGGCUGUGCACAUGCCAUUGUGCUGUUACAAUGGUGUUGGCAAACAGAAGCAAUUAAGCUGAAAAACUAGCUGACGUGUUUCAUCUCAGACGGGGCCAUAUUUUGUUCAAGAAUUUGUUACCACCGUAAACCGAUACUGCUCAGGCUUUAGGCUCAGCUGGUAUGAGAAGCAUUAGAGAAAUACCGUUUUAAGGGAAGAGUAAAAUGUAUUUCAAAUGGCUCCGCAGCGGAGCACAUUUCAGUGUCGGGAAUGCUAAGCCCACAACAAGAAAACAGCAAAACUUAGCAGUUUGAGCUCACUGCAAUUGCAGAUCUGGUAAUAAUGAGGGAAAUGUCCUAAAUCAUUACAAUCCAGGGUACCGCAAGCCAGAAAACCGACGGAGAAAUGUUUUUAUUUGUUUCACAGCUCCCAAAUUCUGCUGGAGAAUUUUCCAUUCUUCCAGAUGUUUUCUGGCAGACAGAAGGACUUUUGAUUUCAAACGCUGAGCUGUCUGUGGACCCAUCGGACCGCGCUCUGACAUUCGGGAGAAGUGAGUGGUAAGAGGUGCCCUCUGGGACAUGCAACGGACUCGGGAUUGUCCUCGAAGAACUGCCGGGCUCAGGUCUCACGCUGCUGAACUGUGAACCGAAACACCCACCCCUGCUACACCAGCCGGGAGCCAGACGCUGCGCGUGCGGCAGCAGCCCAAGUGGAUCUGAUUCUCUCACGGAGCAGCACUGAAGAGGAGCUAGGCUCUGCACAACCCCAUGGUGAGAGACGGACAUGCCCCGAAGAGAGCUCAUGACCAAACUAGGCAAAGAGCUGGAGGGAAAAGAGAGACAAAGAAGGGAGAAGGAAGUGGUGCAAAGUCACAGAGCAGAGGCAGGAAUAGAGCCGUGGCCUCCCAAUGCCCGGCCCUCAGUCCACUACUCCAUGCUGCCCUCCCCACCCCUUCUUUGCCAAACGGCUGUAAAGUGUAGAUGUCGCAUGCCCUCAACUGAAACCCCAACCCAGGCUGAGAACACUUUGUGUAGGUAAAAGUGCUUAUUGUGCGCACGGAUGGGCAUUUCGUACCUGUCUCCAUGGCCAUUCCCAACCCUACCAUUGACUGACUGGUCCCUGCUGAAACCAGCCUCUGUGCUCCAGGAUCCCUCUGCCUUGCAGCUGACCUUGUCUGAUGCUCUGACAGUUUGAUGGCACGGCCACGUCGUAACUCGUAACACUUCCCAUUCUCGUGCGCCACAAACAUUUAUAGACCCAUGUCUGGAGGAGACACCAGCCUUUAGAUAGGCCGAGGGUCCUGUCGUAGUGCAGCUAGUCAUAUGCUGUUCGGUGCUGAAAUACAAUUCCACCAUUAAUUUACACACAAAGAAGUGCUUUAGUCAUUGUAAUGAUAAUGUAAUGGAGAGCAGUCCAUUAACAAGGAUCGGUUGUCUGCAAUAGGCAAAUUAUUUUCCUUUCAAGUUUCCAUCAGUAUUAAGAUAUAUUCAUUAUCUCUGUUUUAUUCCCUCCCCACCUCCGCCCCACAUCCCUUCUUUAUCUGAUUUUGGUGCAUUAAAGGUACCAGUUGGGGAAACUGGGCCAACUCUGCUCUCUCUUCCAUGGAGGUAACCUCAACGAGACGACUGGAGUUUUACAGGGUAAUGGGAGGGGCGAAUUGGACUGACUGUAGUUAUAUGUUCCCUACAGAGUCACACUGUACUAGUCUGCAGCUAACACAAAGGCUCAAGAUUCAAUGCAGUGUGUUUUCAAGUGGUGAAACACCCUAGCAGCAGUUGAAAGUGAAGUGGAAUUCAUAAAUGCCUUUUUCAUCUUUAUCAAAUUGCUAUGAGGCGCAGUUAUGUUCAUUAAUGAUGUCCUUUAAACCACAUUGUGAAAUUCCAUUAACAAUAAAUGCUUUAAAAAUGUAUGACAGGCUGUAACAGCUGAUUUAUUGGAGGCUAAAACUAUUAACAGUGUAUGCAGCCUGAGCAUAUUUAAGGCUAUUGAGCAUGCUGGAGAGUGCCGUAUGAUGUAUUAAUACACGUACUACUUAGACAGUGUAAAUAAACUUUCUU